rnacentral:misc_RNA from 1 species
GGCCUAAGGGGCUCCCGGCGUCCUUAUUCAUAGGUACACCAAUUCUCGAUGGGUGAGAUAGGUUACGGUAAAAUGGGUUGUCGGUGUUUAAACAUAAUGGAGAAUGUGGAGAAUGAGAGGGUUUGGAGUUGAGAAUUGAUUCAGUGAGAAUUGAGCAAACAAAGGCUUGAGCAUUAAAUUCGAAGCAUCAACCAGCCUUCUUCGAAAACAAGUGCUACAAGAAGAACGACUAACAAUU